rnacentral:rRNA from 1 species
ACGGCUCAGUAACACGUAGUCAACAUGCCCAGGGGACGUGGAUAACCUCGGGAAACUGAGGAUAAACCGCGAUAAGUCACUACUUCUGGAAUGGGUAAUGACUCAAAUCUAUAUGGCCCCUGGAUUGGACUGCGGCCGAUCAGGCUGUUGGUGAGGUAAUGGCCCACCAAACCUGUAACCGGUACGGGCUCUGAGAGGAGGAGCCCGGAGAUGGGCACUGAGACAAGGGCCCAGGCCCUAUGGGGCGCAGCAGGCGCGAAACCUCUGCAAUAGGCGAAAGCUUGACAGGGUUACUCUGAGUGAUUUCCGUUAAGGAAAUCUUUUGGCACCUCUAAAAAUGGUGCAGAAUAAGGGGUGGGCAAGUCUGGUGUCAGCCGCCGCGGUAAUACCAGCACCCCGAGUGGUCGGGACGUUUAUUGGGCCUAAAGCAUCCGUAGCCGGUUCUACAAGUCUUCCGUUAAAUCCAACUGCUUAACAGGUGGGCUGCGGAAGAUACUAUAGAGCUAGGAGGCGGGAGAGGCAAGCGGUACUCGAUGGGUAGGGGUAAAAUCCGUUGAUCCAUUGAAGACCACCAGUGGCGAAGGCGGCUUGCCAGAACGCGCUCGACGGUGAGGGAUGAAAGCUGGGGGAGCAAACCGGAUUAGAUACCCGGGUAGUCCCAGCUGUAAACGAUGCAGACUCGGUGAUGAGUUGGCUAUAUGCCAACUCAGUGCCGCAGGGAAGCCGUUAAGUUUGCCGCCUGGGGAGUACGGUCGCAAGACUGAAACUUAAGGGAAUUGGCGGGGGAGCAC